ensembl:snRNA U6 U6 spliceosomal RNA
GUGCUCACUUCGGCAGCACAUAUAGUAAAUGGAACGAUACAGAGAAGAUUAGCAUGGCCCCUGAGCAAGGAUGACACUCAAAUUCGUGAAAUGUUCCAUAUGUUU